rnacentral:rRNA from 1 species
UACGGAGGGUGCAAGCGUUAAUCGGAAUCACUGGGCGUAAAGCGCGCGUAGGUGGUUUGGUAAGUAGGCUGUGAAAUCCCCAGGCUUAACCUGGGAACUGCAGUCUAAACUGCCUCACUAGAGAUCAGUAGAGGGAGGUGGAAUUCCUGGUGUAGCGGUGAAAUGCGUAGAUAUCAGGAAGAACACCAGUGGCGAAGGCGACCUCCUGGACUGUAUCUGACACUGAGGUGCGAAAGCGUGGGGAGCGAACAGG